rnacentral:misc_RNA from 1 species
CGCACAUUGCGCCCCUCGGUAGUCCGUUGGGCAUGCCUGUUCGAGCGUCAUUUAAACCUUCAAGCUCAGCUUGGUGUUGGGUGCUUGUCCUCCCCCGUGGUGGACUCACCUCAAAUGCAUUGGCGGCCGGUAUGUUGGCUUCGAGCGCAGUAGAACGCGCCUGGCGUCUUGACGUACUGGUCCUCCACGAGACUAUUCUCAUCUUGACCUCGGAUCAGGUAGGGAUACCCGCUGAACUUAA